rnacentral:rRNA from 1 species
UCGAGAAUCUUCCGCAAUGGGCGAAAGCCUGACGGAGCGACACCGCGUGCAGGAUGAAGGCCUUCGGGUUGUAAACUGCUGUCACGCCAUAGGAAUGCCCUGUCGUUAAUAGCUGCAGGGUUGACCAAAGCGAGAGGAAGCACCGGCUAACUCCGUGCCAGCAGCCGCGGUAAUACGGAGGGUGCGAACGUUGUUCGGAAUCACUGGGCAUAAAGAGCACGUAGGCGGCCUACUAAGUCGGGUGUGAAAGCCCUCGGCUCAACCGAGGAACUGCAUUCGAUACUGGCAGGCUCGAGGAUGGUUGGGGUGAGUGGAACUCCAGGUGGAGCGGUGAAAUGCGUAGAUAUCUGGAGGAACACCAGUGGCGAAAGCGGCUCACUGGACCAUCUCUGACGCUGAGGUGCGAAAGCUAGGGUAGCGAACGGGAUUAGAUACCCCCGUAGUCC